GUAACUCUUUUGUUAUAAAGUGGGGGUUAUGGUUCCCACAUUAUUGCAAGACAAGACUCUUCUUCCUCCCAUUGAAUCAAGAGCAAAAACACCAUUGUUUUCUUGCAAAUAAUUGUGGAAAACCAUAUACCAUUUUGAUCAGUGUCAUAUUAUUAUUGUUGUGGGUCAAUUCACAUAUUGUUUAAGCCUUGUGAAGUAUUCUUGUGGUGUCAUACAUCUUCAAGA
rnacentral:lncRNA from 1 species